UACGUAGGGGGCAAGCGUUGUCCGGAUUUAUUGGGCGUAAAGAGCGUGUAGGCGGCCAGACAGGUCCGUUGUGAAAACUCGAGGCUCAACCUCGAGAUGUCGAUGGAAACCGUCUGGCUAGAGUCCGGAAGACGGAGUGUGGAAUUCCUGGUGUAGCGGUGAAAUGCGCAGGAUAUCAGGAAGAACACCUAUGGCGAAGGCAGCGACUCUGGGACGGUACUGACGCUGAGACGCGAAAGCGUGGGAGCGAACAGGAUUGAGAUACCCGGUGUA
rnacentral:rRNA from 1 species